rnacentral:rRNA from 1 species
UCGAGCGAACAGAUAAGGAGCUUGCUCCUUUGACGUUAGCGGCGGACGGGUGAGUAACACGUGGAUAACCUACCUAUAAGACUGGGAUAACUUCGGGAAACCGGAGCUAAUACCGGAUAACAUAUUGAACCGCAUGGUUCAAUAGUGAAAGGCGGCUUUGCUGUCACUUAUAGAUGGAUCCGCGCCGUAUUAGCUAGUUGGUAAGGUGACGGCUUACCAAGGCAACGAUACGUAGCCGACCUGAGAGGGUGAUCGGCCACACUGGAACUGAGACACGGUCCAGACUCCUACGGGAGGCAGCAGUAGGGAAUCUUCCGCAAUGGGCGAAAGCCUGACGGAGCAACGCCGCGUGAGUGAUGAAGGUCUUCGGAUCGUAAAACUCUGUUAUCAGGGAAGAACAAAUGUGUAAGUAACUGUGCACAUCUUGACGGUACCUGAUCAGAAAGCCACGGCUAACUACGUGCCAGCAGCCGCGGUAAUACGUAGGUGGCAAGCGUUAUCCGGAAUUAUUGGGCGUAAAGCGCGCGUAGGCGGUUUUUUAAGUCUGAUGUGAAAGCCCACGGCUCAACCGUGGAGGGUCAUUGGAAACUGGAAAACUUGAGUGCAGAAGAGGAAAGUGGAAUUCCAUGUGUAGCGGUGAAAUGCGC